GGCUCACACCUGUAAUCCCAGCACUUUGAGCGGCCAAGUUGGGCAGAUAACUUGAGGUGAGGAGUUCGAGACCAGCCUGGCCAACAUGGUGAAACACCAUCUCUACCAAAAAUACAAAAAAAAAAAAAAAAAUAGUCGAGUGUGCUGGCCUGCACCUGUAGUCCCAGCUACUCAGGAGGCUGAGGCAGGAGAAUCACCUGAACCUGAAAGGAGGAGGUUGCAGUAAGUGGAGAUGGUGCCACUGCAUUCCAGCCUGGGUGACAGAGCAACCCCUAUCUCAAAAACAAAAAAAUUUUUAAGGAAUGAUGUUAAAUGACAGAAGAUGAGAAAGACAGCAGAGUAAGUCUCUCCAGCCAUUAUCUCCCAGCAGAAACAUCCAUUUGAGCAACUAUCCACACACAAAAUUACUUUCACAAGAGCCAAAAAAAAAAAAAAAACUCGAACACACGAGUGAAGCUGGGAAGCGCCCUUGGACCACAAAGACAAGCAAAACCACGGUUGGAAGGUAAAGGGAUCAGUUCUCUGUGCUUGCAACAUGCCUCCCCUCAAGCCAUUAUGGCACCACACGUGGAAACUCCCCAUGGACCCAUGAUUUUUACACUGGAAAAACUGAGCUAGGGGUGGACAUACAGAUUCCCCAUCAUUCCGGGCCCCUCCACAAAAGACUCACUCCUGUAUUGGCCCAUAGAGAACACUGCAAGUACCUAAGGCCAGUUAAAGACAAAAAGAAGGGGUGGGGUUGGGCAGCCACUGCAAGGAAUUUGGCAGUGGCUCUCCAUCCCUGCCAGAGGAGAUGCUGCACCAAAGACACUGUUUACAGAAACCAUGCUGCAGGAAGCAUGGUCCACAGAUCCUCUGGCCUUGAGGGCCUGGCUGGUUCUCCACAGGGCCCAGGUGCCCUCUGUGGCUCUCCCACCUGCCCCAUCCAGGUCCGACAUUUCAUCAGCAGUGAAGCUAGUGCCAGACUCGCCUCUAACCUGGGCUUAGGGUACCCCCUAGUGUUGAAAUGGAAGACAACAGUCAGUCCACUCACAAUUUCUAAAUAAGCCCACUGAAAUAGAAUGGUCACAAACAAACUCAGGCUGUAAAGACCGUAAUAAACACCUAAUUCACCAAUGCAUAGAUAGAGACGCAGAUCUAGGAAUAAGAAUAGCCUAGGAACGUGCCUCGUCAAAUAGACAGAACAAAAUGCCAAUGAAUUAUCCUAAAAACAUGCAAAUGAAUGGUCUGGCAGGCAAAGAAUUCAAAACGGCUGUUUUAAGAAAACUCAGAGAACUUAAAGAAAACAUAGAGAAACAAUUCAGACGUUUGUCAGAGAAAUGUAACAGCGAAAGUAAAAUAAUAAGAAACAAACAGAAACCUUGAAGCUGAGAAGUACAAUAUGAAAUGAAAAAUGUGCCGGGCGCGGUGGC
rnacentral:lncRNA from 1 species